rnacentral:tRNA from 1 species
CCCUGGUUAGUUCACUUGGCAGUGCGCUCCAAUGGAAAUGGAGAGGUUUCCGGGUUCGAUUCCCGGACCAGGCG